rnacentral:hammerhead_ribozyme from 1 species
CUGCAGCUGAUGAGACCAAACCAGGUCGAAACAGCUGUCCAGUGC